CCGUCUCUUUCUCAAGGAAAGACUUGUCGGGGGUCACAGACGGUGCGGCCAUUUUCCCUGGGAACCUACUGUGAGGAAAGAGGGAGUACCUGCAGAGGGGAUUGCCCUACCCAUAAUUCCCAUCAAUUUCUGGGGCGCUCUUCAGGUAGACUCCUUCCCCCCUCCCCUAACCUCUUGCUCUCACUGAGCAAACGUCAUAGGUGGGGCUUCGUGUUCACACAAGGCGGCAAACGCCACACAUGGUUGUGCCUGAACAGGGACGAACCAUCUUUGGGAUGAUAAGCCGUCCUGUCUGGGAAGAUUACUCAGAACUGGCUUCACAGCCCAUGGCCACUGUUUUUGCAGGAAGGAGUCCAUGUGAGGACAUACUGAGAAGGCGGCCAUCUACAAGCCAGAAAGAGAUUCCUUAUCAGAAAUAAACCAUGAAGGCACCUUGGUCUUGGACUUCCAGCCUUCAGAACUGUGAGAAAAUAAAUGUCUGAUGUUUAAGCCA